GAUGAACGCUGGCGGCGUGCCUAAUACAUGCAAGUCGAGCGAACGGACGAGAAGCUUGCUUCUCUGAUGUUAGCGGCGGACGGGUGAGUAACACGUGGAUAACCUACCUAUAAGACUGGGAUAACUUCGGGAAACCGGAGCUAAUACCGGAUAAUAUUUUGAACCGCAUGGUUCAAAAGUGAAAGACGGUCUUGCUGUCACUUAUAGAUGGAUCCGCGCUGCAUUAGCUAGUUGGUAGGGUAACGGCUUACCAAGGCAACGAUGCAUAGCAGACCUGAGAGGGUGAUCGGCCACACUGGAACUGAGACACGGUCCAGACUCCUACGGGAGGCAGCAGUAGGGAAUCUUCCGCAAUGGGCGAAAGCCUGACGGAGCAACGCCGCGUGAGUGAUGAAGGUCUUCGGAUCGUAAAACUCUGUUAUUAGGGAAGAACAUAUGUGUAAGUAACUGUGCACAUCUUGACGGUACCUAAUCAGAAAGCCACGGCUAACUACGU
rnacentral:rRNA from 1 species